UGGGCAGAGCGACGUGGACGCGGGAAAACACAGAGGCUGGGGCGGCGGCCAGAGCCCCCGAGGCCCCGACGGCGGUUACCGGGUAGAGGUAGAGCACCGCGGCCACCAACGCCAGCAGGAAGACCUACAGGCUCGGACUCCGGGAGCGAGGGCGUGUGUGUUCUGGAACAAAGCUGUGGUCGUCCGUGAGAACCGCCGACCCAAGCGAACCCGGACUGGGGAGUGUCAGAGUCCAGCUCUGGUGGAGGCUCCUUGUUCCGCGAAGGAACUUCUGUGAAGCGCUCAUGGUGGGGCUCCCAGUGGAGCCCCGGACUGCUCAGGGACGGGGUCCUCACGCUAGAGCUGCAGUAAAUUGGAAUUUCGAAGGUUCCAUCUCCUUCCUGUAAAACAGUGGAAAUACUACGACACAGAGUGGCCCGCAGGAAUAAAUCGGAUAUUUUAUGAGAA